rnacentral:rRNA from 1 species
GAUGAACGCUGGCGGCGUGCCUAAUACAUGCAAGUCGAACGCAUCCUUUGGGGUGAGUGGCAGACGGGUGAUGAACGCGUGGGAACGUGCCCUUCAGUUCGGGAUAACCCAGGGAAACGUGGGCUAAUACCGGAUACGUGCGAGAGCAGAAAGAUUUAUCGCUGAAGGAUCGGCCCGCGUCUGAUUAGCUAGUUGGUGGGGUAAUGGCCCACCAAGGCGACGAUCAGUAGCUGGUCUGAGAGGAUGAUCAGCCACAUUGGGACUGAGACACGGCCCAAACUCCUACGGAAGGCAGCCGUGGGGAAUAUUGGACAAUGGGCGCAAGCCUGAUCCAGCCAUGCCGCGUGAGUGAUGAAGGCCUUAGGGUUGUAAAGCUCUUUCGUCCGGGACGAUAAUGACGGUACCGGAAGAAGAAGCCCCGGCUAACUUCGUGCCAGCCGCCGCUGUAA